CGGGAAUUUUGGGCAAUGGGCGAAAGCCUGACCCAGCAACGCCGCGUGAGGGAUGAAGUAUUUCGGUAUGUAAACCUCGAAAGAAUGGGAAGAAUAAAUGACGGUACCAUUUAUAAGCUCCGGCUAACUACGUGCCAGCAGCCGCGGUAAUACGUAGGGAGCAAGCGUUGUUCGGAUUUACUGGGCGUAAAGGGCGCGUAGGCGGCGCGGUAAGUCACUUUUGAAAUCUCUGAGCUUAACUCAGAACGGCCAAGUGAUACUGCUGUGAUAGAGUGCGAAAGGGGCAACCGGAAUUCUUGGUGUAGCGGUGAAAUACGUAGAUAUCAAGAGGAACACCUGAGGCGAAGGCGGGUUGCUGGGCCGACACUGACGCUGAUGCGCGAAAGCCAGGGGAGCAAACG
rnacentral:rRNA from 1 species